rnacentral:rRNA from 1 species
UACGGGAGGCAGCAGUGGGGAAUAUUGCACAAUGGGCGCAAGCCUGAUGCAGCCAUGCCGCGUGUAUGAAAAAGGCCUUCGGGUUGUAAAGUACUUUCAGUCGUGAGGAAGGUGUUAAGGUUAAUAACCUUAGCAAUUGACGUUAGCGACAGAAGAAGCACCGGCUAACUCCGUGCCAGCAGCCGCGGUAAUACGGAGGGUGCGAGCGUUAAUCGGAAUUACUGGGCGUAAAGGGCACGCAGGCGGUUAAUUAAGUUGGAUGUGAAAUCCCCGGGCUUAACCUGGGAAUGGCAUUCAGACUGGUUAGCUAGAGUCUUGUAGAGGGGGUAGAAUUCCAUGUGUAGCGGUGAAAUGCGUAGAGAUGUGGAGGAAUACCGGUGGCGAAGGCGGCCCCUGGACAAAGGACUGACGCUCAUGUGCGAAAGCGUGGGGAGCAAAC